rnacentral:rRNA from 1 species
AGUGAACGCUGGCGGUAGGCCUAACACAUGCAAGUCGAACGGCAGCACAGUAAGAUCUUGCUCUUACGGGUGGCGAGUGGCGGACGGGUGAGGAAUACAUCGGAAUCUACUUUUUCGUGGGGGAUAACGUAGGGACACUUACGCUAAUACCGCAUACGACCUACGGGUGAAAGCAGGGGAUCUUCGGACCUUGCGCGAUUGAAUGAGCCGAUGUCGGAUUAGCUAGUUGGCGGGGUAAAGGCCCACCAAGGCAACGAUCCGUAGCUGGUCUGAGAGGAUGAUCAGCCACACUGGAACUGAGACACGGUCCAGACUCCUACGGGAGGCAGCAGUGGGGAAUAUUGGACAAUGGGCGCAAGCCUGAUCCAGCAAUACCGCGUGGGUGAAGAAGGCCUUCGGGUUGUAAAGCCCUUUUGUUGGGAAAGAAAAGCAGCAGGUUAAUACCCCGCUGUUCUGACGGUACCCAAAGAAUAAGCACCGGCUAACUUCGUG